AUUGAACGCUGGCGGCAGGCCUAACACAUGCAAGUCGAGCGGAUGAGGGGAGCUUGCUCCUCGAUUCAGCGGCGGACGGGUGAGUAAUGCCUAGGAAUCUGCCUAGUAGUGGGGGACAACGUUUCGAAAGGAACGCUAAUACCGCAUACGUCCUACGGGAGAAAGUGGGGGAUCUUCGGACCUCACGCUAUUAGAUGAGCCUAGGUCGGAUUAGCUAGUUGGUAGGGUAACGGCCUACCAAGGCGACGAUCCGUAACCGGUCUGAGAGGAUGAUCAGUCACACUGGAACUGAGACACGGUCCAGACUCCUACGGGAGGCAGCAGUGGGGAAUAUUGGACAAUGGGCGAAAGCCUGAUCCAGCCAUGCCGCGUGUGUGAAGAAGGCCCUCGGGUCGUAAAGCACUUUAAGUUGGGAGGAAGGGCUUACAGCGAAUACCUGUGAGUUUUGACGUUACCGACAGAAUAAGCACCGGCUAACUUCGUGCCAGCAGCCGCCGCGG
rnacentral:rRNA from 1 species